rnacentral:rRNA from 1 species
AACAGGAUUAGAUACCCUGGUAGUCCACGCCGUAAACGAUGUCGACUUGGAGGUUGUGCCCUUGAGGCGUGGCUUCCGGAGCUAACGCGUUAAGUCGACCGCCUGGGGAGUACGGCCGCAAGGUUAAAACUCAAAUGAAUUGACGGGGGCCCGCACAAGCGGUGGAGCAUGUGGUUUAAUUCGAUGCAACGCGAAGAACCUUACCUACUCUUGACAUCCAGAGAACUUUCCAGAGAUGGAUUGGUGCCUUCGGGAACUCUGAGACAGGUGCUGCAUGGCUGUCGUCAGCUCGUGUUGUGAAAUGUUGGGUUAAGUCCCGCAACGAGCGCAACCCUGAUCCUUUGUUGCCAGCGGUUAGGCCGGGAACUCAAAGGAGACUGCCAGUGAUAAACUGGAGGAAGGUGGGGAUGACGUCAAGUCAUCAUGGCCCUUACGAGUAGGGCUACACACGUGCUACAAUGGCGCACACAAAGAGAAGCGACCUCGCGAGAGCAAGCGGACCUCAUAAAGUGCGUCGUAGUCCGGAUUGGAGUCUGCAACUCGACUCCAUGAAGUCGGAAUCGCUAGUAAUCGUGGAUCAGAGUGCCACGGUGAAUACGUUCCCGGGCCUUGUACACACCGCCCGUCACACCAUGGGAGUGGGUUGCAAAAGAAGUAGGUAGCUUAACCUUCGGGAGGGCGCUUACCACUUUGUGAUUCAUGACUGGGGUGAAGUCGUAACAAGGUAACC